GACCUGGGAAGUCUUGAGAUAAACUCACAUUGGAGAUAAAGAGAGAGACGUAUGAAGGUUAACAAUUUACACAAGGAAGACAUAGCUCACAAGAGAUGAUCCAUGGAGGGUGCCACAAACACAAUGCACAACCGCUAAGAAAGGAAAGCUUCUACGAGGUAAUACUGUACCAUCACUCUUCAAGUAAGGUACUUGACUAUCACUUUUAUAAGUUUCUCCUUGGUUCUAGCAUUCACAUGAAUAAAAGAGACAAACAUGUAUGAUUUACAACUCUAGAUUAACCAACCCAGUCGAUUCAAUAUGUUUAGUCCUUCCACCUUUGUGAUCCCACACUCCUAAUCAUAUGAGCUAAAAUGUUGCACACUCAAUCUUUGGAAGAUAUAAAAAACAUAAGUAUAGAUAGAUUAUCUUUCCAUUAGGUUGAGCGAUCUGAUCUGACAAAUGCUUUAAAUGCUACACUCAUGAUCUUAUUAUCCUUCAACUUUGUCUUGCUCACUAUGCUUAAGGUUAGAGAAGAACAAAUACACUUUUGGUUCUGUUGGUGUUUUCCACCAACAGGGCCCAUGCACUUGAUCUCUGCCUUGUCUCUAUGAGCAGGUACACUUCGAGCAAAAUAUGAAGGACUUUUACAACUCCUACACUCCACCAAGUGAAGAACCUAGAUCUACGAGCAUAAACACACUGGAGUAGCCCUAUUGUGGAAGUAACUACUGACCUUCUGCCGGUCAAGAGAGGCGAUCCAGGAUGCACCGUCAUCCCGAUCUCCAUCGGCAUGGUGAACUUCCCAGAAGCACUCGGCGACUUUGGCUCCAGCAUCAACAUUAUGCCCAGGGUACUGUUGACACUUGCUAACACCACUUGAAUACUAGGUUGUCAUCCCCAGCAUGACACUAGAGUGUACUAUGGUAUUUAUACGCACACAGAUAAUCCGCAAGCGCACGGAUACCGUUGAAGCU
rnacentral:lncRNA from 1 species